GAUGAACGCUGGCGGCGUGCCUAAUACAUGCAAGUCGAGCGAACGGACGAGAAGCUUGCUUCUCUGAUGUUAGCGGCGGACGGGUGAGUAACACAUGGAUAACCUACCUAUAAGACUGGGAUAACUUCGGGAAACCGUAGCUAAUACCGGAUAAUAUUUUGAACCGCAUGGUUCAAAAGUGAAAGACGGUCUUGCUGUCACUUAUAGAUGGAUCCGCGCUGCAUUAGCUAGUUGGUAAGGUAACGGCUUACCAAGGCAACGAUGCAUAGCCGACCUGAGAGGGUGAUCGGCCACACUGGAACUGAGACACGGUCCAGACUCCUACGGGAGGCAGCAGUAGGGAAUCUUCCGCAAUGGGCGAAAGCCUGACGGAGCAACGCCGCGUGAGUGAUGAAGGUCUUCGGAUCGUAAAACUCUGUUAUUAGGGAAGAACAUAUGUGUAAGUAACUGUGCACAUCUUGACGGUACCUAAUCAGAAAGCCACGGCUAACUACGUG
rnacentral:rRNA from 1 species